rnacentral:rRNA from 1 species
AGUGAACGCUGGCGGUAGGCCUAACACAUGCAAGUCGAACGGCAGCACAGUAAGAUCUUGCUCUUACGGGUGGCGAGUGGCGGACGGGUGAGGAAUACAUCGGAAUCUACUUUUUCGUGGGGGAUAACGUAGGGAAACUUACGCUAAUACCGCAUACGACCUACGGGUGAAAGCAGGGGAUCUUCGGACCUUGCGCGAUUGAAUGAGCCGAUGUCGGAUUAGCUAGUUGGCGGGGUAAAGGCCCACCAAGGCGACGAUCCGUAGCGGGUCUGAGAGGAUGAUCAGCCACACUGGAACUGAGACACGGUCCAGACUCCUACGGGAGGCAGCAGUGGGGAAUAUUGGACAAUGGGCGCAAGCCUGAUCCAGCCAUACCGCGUGGGUGAAGAAGGCCUUCGGGUUGUAAAGCCCUUUUGUUGGGAAAGAAAAGCAGCAGGUUAAUACCCCGCUGUUCUGACGGUACCCAAAGAAUAAGCACCGGCUAACUUCGUG